GGUUGUGUAGCUCAAUGGUAGAGUACUUGCCUAGCAUGUAUGAGGCACUGGGUUCAAUCCUCAGCACCACAU
rnacentral:tRNA from 1 species